rnacentral:rRNA from 1 species
UACGUAGGUGGCAAGCGUUGUCCGGAAUUAUUGGGCGUAAAGCGCGCGCAGGCGGUCUCUUAAGUCUGAUGUGAAAGCCCACGGCUCAACCGUGGAGGGUCAUUGGAAACUGGGGGGACUUGAGUACAGAAGAGGAAAGCGGAAUUCCACGUGUAGCGGUGAAAUGCGUAGAGAUGUGGAGGAACACCAGUGGCGAAGGCGGCUUUCUGGUCUGUAACUGACGCUGAGGCGCGAAAGCGUGGGGAGCAAACAGG